GGAUUAGUGGCGAACGGGUGAGUAACACGUGGGCAAUCUGCCCUUCACUCUGGGACAAGCCCUGGAAACGGGGUCUAAUACCGGAUAACACCGGCUUCCGCAUGGGAGCUGGUUAAAAGCUCCGGCGGUGAAGGAUGAGCCCGCGGCCUAUCAGCUUGUUGGUGGGGUAAUGGCCUACCAAGGCGACGACGGGUAGCCGGCCUGAGAGGGCGACCGGCCACACUGGGACUGAGACACGGCCCAGACUCCUACGGGAGGCAGCAGUGGGGAAUAUUGCACAAUGGGCGAAAGCCUGAUGCAGCGACGCCGCGUGAGGGAUGACGGCCUUCGGGUUGUAAACCUCUUUCAGCAGGGAAGAAGCGAAAGUGACGGUACCUGCAGAAGAAGCGCCGGCUAACUACGUGCCAGCAGCCGCGGUAAUACGUAGGGCGCAAGCGUUGUCCGGAAUUAUUGGGCGUAAAGAGCUCGUAGGCGGCUUGUCACGUCGGGUGUGAAAGCCCGGGGCUUAACCCCGGGUCUGCAUCCGAUACGGGCAGGCUAGAGUGUGGUAGGGGAGAUCGGAAUUCCUGGUGUAGCGGUGAAAUGCGCAGAUAUCAGGAGGAACACCGGUGGCGAAGGCGGAUCUCUGGGCCAUUACUGACGCUGAGGAGCGAAAGCGUGGGGGAGCGAACAGGAUUAGAUA
rnacentral:rRNA from 1 species